rnacentral:lncRNA from 1 species
CCGCGCGCUGCAGCCGCCGCGUGCAGGUGGUCAUGAGCUCCGCCAUGGCGUGCAGGAGGGUGGCGCCGGCCAUCGCCAUCGCCCCCGGCCGCUUGUCGCUGGCUGCUUCUCGCGGCGGCGACUCCAGCUUGGAGGGUUUCCUUUCGCGGGGUUUGGCUUCUGUUUGGAGGCGGCGGUUUGAUUGAUUUGGCGCCAUAUAUAGCCGAGCCGGGGCUGGGGUACGUGUGGUGUGCGUUGGGGAAGUCAGACCGGUGGGGUCAGGGGGAAGGAUUUGUCCAAUAAAUUACCACUUAAAAGUUUGACAUGUAAUAUAAUGCAGAUGAAGUGUUAAUUUUUAAUCCAUAAGUCGUCUCGAGCAUGUUUACGUGCUAAAUCAACGUACGAAGACGAUGAUAGUGAUAUACGUGGAAGUGAAUCCUCGAUGUAGGUAAUAGCAAUGGUAAUAUCAAGUUAUUCUCGUCUAUAUUAUCGGCA